rnacentral:tRNA from 1 species
GGAGGCGUAUGGGUGCCUGGUGGCCCCCGCGGUCUUCAACACCGGCGUGGUCGAGCAACUCGACCAGGCGGGUUCGAUUCCCGCCCGCCUCCG